AGUCGGUGUGAGCAGUUCUCUCGGUGAGAGGCUACGGGAAAAAUCGAGAAAAAUCGGCUUUUCGUGAGUUUUUCGGCAUUUUUGUCGGCCAGAAAGGAAAAUACGGCCGCCGCUCGCGCGUGUGUGUUGGUGCUUCUUCUGGUGCCUGGUGCCUGCUUCUGUGUUGUUGGUGUGUGUGCGAGUGUGCGUGCGUCGUGUGUGUGUGUGUGUAUAUUUGUAAAGGAGAAAUUGUAACAAACCGGUUCUUCUUCUACUUCUUGUACCACCACCAACAACAACAACAACCAACCAACAAAUACACGAUUUUUUUGAGAAGAAUCACAAAACCAAAUAUCUAGAAAAAAAAAUCGCAUCAAAAUCGUUAUUCGUUUCGCCUCCGAAAUAAAAGGACGAAGGAUAUAAACUAUCCAAUAAAACCUAUCAAAAUCAUCCCAAAAAACAACAAUCGUUGCAUUUUUUUUUCUGUGUCCCAAGCCCAAGAGAAAAAUUUCUUCAAUGUGAGCCAAAGUGCAAAAAAAAAAGAAAAAUUUAAGAAAAAUUAAAAUAAAGUUCAAGAAUCAAAGAAGAGAGUGCCAAAAGUAAAAAAAUAUUAAUAUUUCAAUUCAUUUCAAAAAUCUUUAAAAAGGAGUACGAGAAACAAAACAAAAAUUGCGAAAUACUUACCGAAAUUUUCACAAAAAUAAAAAUUCUAUAAAGACUCCUAAGAAUUAAGGAGGAAAGCUAAGCCGGCGAACUUUGGGCAACUUUUGCGCCUCCAUUGGAUGCGAAGAGGGCCGCCUACAGUCCAGAACCGAGGACCGAGAACCAAGAGUCCAGGUGGAAAAACAAAGGUACCGUAACCAAGUAAUUGAACAGCAACAAUAGACAAGGAUAAGGAUAAGGAUACAGCCAAGGAGUAGCUGAAGCUGGAGGAGAGAAAAACAUCAAAAAUAAAACAUAAACAGACAGUUUUUAAAGCUCGGGCUUGAAGGAAACUAGAAAACUUAAAGGAGACAGGAGGUACUUUGUAUUUUGUCGUACAGCGUUACUGGAACAAUAUUUUCGAUGAUGCUCGUCCAGCUCUCCAGUUGCAGUGGUCGCUUUUAAUUCCAAAAAGUCACUAAAACCCAAAACGAAAUUAAUAUUUUGAGGACGAAGAAUAGUUAGCCGAGAGCGGUGUACGACAAACCCGGAGACAUGUAUCCAAGCGGAGGCAGUGGAGCAGCAACGGCUGCCAAGUUCCAGAAUCGCUGCGGUUCGCCGCAGUUCGCCAGCGACUAUCCGCAUCCGCAUCCGCAUCAGCAUCCGCAGACCACAUCGGUGGCCAUACACACGGCGCCGUCGGGCGGCGACCGCACCACCGGUGCUGUGAGUGGUGGCGGGUCCAUGAGGUCGGCACAGAGGGCCCAGCAGAUGACCUUGAGCCACGGUCAUGGCGCGUCGCACAAUCACGGCCUGGGCAUGGGAAUGGUGGGCCACGGAAUGGGAUCACAUGGCCACGGCCACGGCCAUGGACACGGGCACGGGCAUGGCCACUCGAACGCCGCCACUCUGGGCCACCCGCACAACCACGGGAUGAGCCAUGUGGGCUCCCACCUGAUCUAUCCGGACGACAUGGACAGCAUCGAGUUUUGCAUGCCGACACCGCCCUCCUCGUCCGCCCAGAACGGCCUCGGCGGAGACCAGUUUCUGCUGGGCAGCGGAGGACACGACGAGGCAUUCCGCUACCAGGAGCGCUGGCAGAGGAACUACAGCCGGAGGAGCAACCACAAAAUGGAACAGCAGGUCAAGUGGUCACGCAAGAACAUAGCCGCCACCAUGGAGCGCUUCGAGCCGACGCCCAACACCCAGAGCUCGUCCUCCACCUCCUCGCUGGACUACGGAUUCGCGGCCGGAGUGAUGACUCCCAGCAGCAACAGCGCCACGCCCUCGCACGGCGGAGGCGGCGGAGCCGGAGCCUCGAAUCCCUCGCUGCACGUGGCAUUCAACGGAAGCGGUGGCGCCGCCGGAGGAUCGGUUGGAUCGGGCUCGGGCUCGAUAGGAUCGGAAUCGGGAAUAGGCGCCGGAGUCGGUGCCGGGGCUGGGGUCGGGGUAGGAGCCGUGGGCGGAACAGCUACUGCGGCAGCGCCCUUCAACCACGUCUACUCGUACGCCUACUACGAGCCGGGGGCCGCCAAGUGCCACACGAACGUGCCGGCCCAGGGAUCGGCAGGGAGCAGCGGAUCGGGCUCGGCAUCCGUGUCCGGAUCGGUGCAGAUGCUGCCCCGGCAGCCGGAAAAGAGCCCGCCCCGGAACUCGAUACGGGCGCUGCUGGCCAAGAGCUUCCGCUCCAAGAGCAGCUCCACCGGCCACGGGCACGGCCAGAGCACCUCCAGUUCGCCGAGCGCCGAGGAGCGCGACCGCCACACGUAUACCACGCGGUACGGCACGACGGAGAACCUGUACGAGGAGGUGAGCGACCAGAAGAUCCGCAAGGUCCUCUCCGACAACCGGAUCGCCAGCGCCUCCAGUGUCGGCAACGUGAAGGAGGAGCAGCGGCGGGUACAGAACAACCACUUCCGGGUCCUGGACGAACUCAACCUGUCGCUGGAGGCCCUGAUCAUGCCCCCGACUCCGCCGGACAUCAGUCCCAAUCAUGCCGCCGGCGACGAGCCGAACAUAGCCAGUGGCGCAGUCGGUGGGGGCCAUUCCGUGUCCACCACGGCGGUGGUCACGCCACUGCCCUCGUCCGCCGGCAAGAUCAACCAGCGACCGCGGCGCGGCGGCCUGCUAGGUGGGGCCUCGAAUGCCGGGGGCGCCUCCAACUCCAGUUCCGCCUCGCACGCCAGCCUGGAGAACCUAUCGAGCACCCUGAACAGCAUGGAGUUGAAGGAUCACGGCCACAGCAGCUGCAUCAACCCGGAGUUCGACGAAGGAGACCUCGACUCCGGGUUCAGCGGCAGCGGCAGCAGCAGCGGCGCCAGCUACAACGAGAGCUUGCGGUACUACAAGUCGGCCACGCCCACCGGCCCCAUGCACCACCAGGGCCUGCACCACCAGGGCAUGCCGCACCACCACCACCACCACCAUCACUCGCUCAACAACAACACCUUGCCGCACAACCUGAGGAGCUGCCGAUCCUCGACGGCGUCGGGCACCUCCACCUCCAAGAGCAGCAUGGCCAGCUGCGGCGAGGACCAGGGCAUCGGCAUGACCUUGUCGGUAGGCGGGGGUGGCGGCGGUGUCGGCGGACCGGGCGGUGGCCUGCCGGAGUCUGGUGGCGUGGCUGGGGGUGGCGGCGGCGUCGGCUCCCUCUCGCCCUUCAACUAUCCGCGACGGUGCUCGGCGGAUCAGCAGCGCGCCUCCGGCAGGUCCAUGGGAGGCAUGACCGGAGGCGGCAUCAUCAGCGGCAUGGGCGGUGGCGCCACCACCAUGACCAGUGGCAGCAACGUGGCCCUGUCCACUGGCACGAAACCCAAAAAGAACUUCUGGACCAUGAAACCGUGAUGCUACAAAAAGGCGCUGCGUCACAUUUGCAAGAAAUGGACUAUUGUUAUGGAAUACAAUACAAAGACUGCCUCAUGCCAUGCCAUCCACUAUUACCAUCAACCCAAUAGCUACAGUAGCUUCUAUCAGCAUAAGCAGCUG